rnacentral:lncRNA from 1 species
GGGCUGGUCUGUGUCUGCACUGUGAUCUACUCACUGGGCUGGUCUGUGACUGCACUGUGAUCUACUCACUGGGCUGGUCUGUGUCUGCACUGGGAUCUACUCACUGGGCUGGUCUGUGUCUGCACUGGGAUCUACUCGCUGUGCUGGUCUGUGACUACUCUGGGAUCUACUCGCUGUGCUGGUCUGUGACUAUUCUGGGAUCUACUCACUGUGCUGGUCUGUGACUGCUCUGGGAUCUACUCGCUGUGCUGGUCUGUGACUGCACUGAUCUACUCGCUGUGCUGUAUUGACUGCACUGUGAUCUGUUCACCGUGGUGGUCUGUGAUUACUCUGGGAUCUACUUGCCGUGCUGGUCUUUGACUGCACUGUGAUCUACUUGCUGUUCUGGUCUGUGUCUGAACUGUAAUCUAUUUGCUGUGCUGAUCUGUGACUGCACUGGGAUCUAUUUGCUGUGCAUGUCUGUGAUUACGCUGGGAUCUAUUCACAGUGAUGUUCAGUGACUAUGAUGGGAUCUAUUCACGGUGAUGUUCAGUGACUACGAUGGGAUCUAUUUGCUGUGCUGGUCUGUGUCUGCACUGUGAUCUACUCGCUGUGCUGGUCUGUGGCUACACUAAAAUAACUUGUGUUGCAAACCAACAGUGAACUUUCAUUUGUUUCAGGAAAUGAAAAGACAACACAAUCAAGAUGCAAAGCUCUUUAAUUUCUGAUAAAAGUUCAAUGACAAAAUGAUUAUUUAUUAUCUACGUAUUGUUUCUCCUUAAUUAGAAACAAAUAGUAUAGGAAAUACUAUUUAAGUUUAUAUUUAAAUUUAAUUAUCAGUCCCAAAGUUUUUAAUAUAUUUUUUAAGAAAUUAAACUUAUGGGGGACCGCGAUCCCAUUUUCUCAGUUAUCAAAUCUUGGUAAGAAAAUAAAUUCAUUUUUACUGAAUGUAAAGUUUUUAUAAAUUUUGAAUUGAGCACAAAAAUGUGAACUGUGUAAAAGUACUGUAAGUCGCCAUGCUGUUAGUCACAGUUCGGCUCCAUGACCUGCGAGGUGAGGCGGCCCUUCCUGCUCACUAGUCC